rnacentral:tRNA from 1 species
UCCGAGGUAGCUCAAUGGUGGAGCAAUCGGCUGUUAACCGAUAGGCUGUGGGUUCGAGCCCCACCCUCGGAG